rnacentral:miRNA from 1 species
UACCUAUAUAUGUAAUUCUGUAUUUAUAGAUAUACAUAGAUAUAGAUGUACAUAUGCACUUGAAUAUACAUAUAGACAUACACACAAAUAUAUGCAUAUAUGAACAUAUAUA